rnacentral:rRNA from 1 species
AGUGAACGCUGGCGGUAGGCCUAACACAUGCAAGUCGAACGGCAGCACAGGAGAGCUUGCUCUCUGGGUGGCGAGUGGCGGACGGGUGAGGAAUACAUCGGAAUCUACUUUUUCGUGGGGGAUAACGUAGGGAAACUUACGCUAAGACCGCAUACGACCUACGGGUGAAAGCAGGGGAUCUUCGGACCUUGCGCGAUUGAAUGAGCCGAUGUCGGAUUAGCUAGUUGGCGGGGUAAAGGCCCACCAAGGCGACGAUCCGUAGCUGGUCUGAGAGGAUGAUCCACCACACUGGAACUGAGACGCGGUCCAGACUCCUACGGGAGGCAGCAGUGGGGAAUAUUGGACAAUGGGCGCAAGCCUGAUCCAGCCAUACCGCGUGGGUGAAGAGGGCCUUCGGGUUGUAAAGCCCUUUUGUUGGGAAAGAAAUCCAGCUGGUUAAUACCCGGUUGGGAUGACGGUACCCAAAGAAUAAGCACCGGCUAACUUCGUGCCAGCCGCCGCCGUAA